rnacentral:other from 1 species
AACACAUCAGAUUUCCUGGUGUAACGAAUUUUUUAAGUGCUUCUUGCUUAAGCAAGUUUCAUCCCCCCCCCCCCCCCCCCCGGGGGGGUUUU